UACGUAGGGGGCAAGCGUUGUCCGGAAUUAUUGGGCGUAAAGGGCGCGCAGGCGGCUCAUUUUGUCAGGCGUGAAAGCCCCGGGCUUAACCUGGGAACUGCGUUUGAUACGGAUGGGCUAGAGUUCGGGAGAGGAGAGUGGAAUUCCCAGUGUAGAGGUGAAAUUCGUAGAUAUUGGGAAGAACACCGGUGGCGAAGGCGGCUCUCUGGACCGAUACUGACGCUGAGGCGCGAAAGCGUGGGGAGCAAACAGG
rnacentral:rRNA from 1 species